AUGAUAGAGACAUGUGAAUAAUUGGUCUUUUGCUUAUAAUACUUUCUUAUGCAAAGCACAUGCUUGCUUAAUUAACUCCUGUCAUUUUUUAUAUUAUUUUAUAGCUGUCAAGCAAACUAUAAAGCAGCUAAUAAAAAGGUCAGCUCGACCCAAAACCAAGGACACAAAGCAAGGGAGGGUACCAUAUGAACCAAAAAAGGCACCUCCUUUUACUCUGCAGCAGAUGAGCAGAAUACGCAAUUACUGCGUGAAGACAGUUGAGGGUUUGCGUGGCUUAUGGCUGUGGACAGUCACACUUCUUUCUUUUGCCCUCUUCUAGAGAGGAGAGGAACCUCUCCACUUGAAGAUGAAGCAUAUAAAAUUGCCUCACAACUUCUCAGCUGACUCUGGUAAAUGACCCCACUGAUUAGAGGUAAAAAUUCCAUGGUCUAAAGCAGAUAAAAGCAAAUGGAGUCACCCUUACGUUGUGGUCUAACCCAAUAAACUCAGAGCUGUGUCCAGUUACUGCCCUUUUGGUGUGGCUACUCGUUGAAGGUAAAUUAAUUAGCCUAUAAUAAAGAAUUCAUGAAUGCAUAUAUAUGUUAUCUGUUAGCUGUUCAUGAAUAGCUCAAAUCCAAACUAUUUGCCAGACAAAACGUUUUUGACCAUAUAUUUUGUUUAUACCCCAUUUUUAUGAGAAAAUUAAUUUUGUUCUGGGAGUUCUUUUCAUGUUUUCCAGUUUCAAUACCUCUUUAGUCAACUGAGCUGUGUGCUGCAUUGACAGCAUCAGUAUACCCUAAAUAGUUGUAGUGCAUUCAGUUUUGCAUAUUUGUUAAAUAAAUGUUUUGUCGCGUUUCCGAACACAUGUGGUGUUGGGCACCAGAGUUCGCCAGGUUAACCACUCAGAGUCGAUGUACAAUAGCUUGGUAGAUUUCUUUAUUGAUAAUUAACUAACCAAAUUAAUUGUUAUGACUCACUUGCAGUAAAAACUAAAGAGCGACUAAUAAGCAAUUAUUGGAUGGGGUUGAGCAUGAUAUUGUAAAUUUUCAAGGCAGCCAAGGUCUUGAUAUUUACAGUAUUAUUGUCUUGUAUCUGACUACAAAUUAUUAAAAUAAUUUUCUUGUCAUUAAGUGGAAAGUCAGACUCAUUUCUUGGUAGCUACGAUAAACAUGCAGUAAAGCUCGGGGCCUAGGGAUUGAGUGGUCUUUCAGGAUAAAGAGGAUAGGUGUUACGUUUAAGGGUUCAACGGUAAUCGUGGUGUUAUCCAACUUAUUUUAUUAUAACUAAAACGUUUUACAUACGUUGCUCCCCGCCAUGUGGUCACACAGUGCAAUCACGUGACCACCACAGGUAGCCCAAACUACAUAACAAUAGGGAUGCUCGUUGACGAGAAAUCGGGAAAAAAUAUAUAUAAAUACAAAGACGAUUCAGAAGUUUGAUUUAGUUUACGGCACCUAUUUAACGGUUUGACUGAAUUCACAACGCAUCUAUCAGCUACGCGAUGUACCUAUUCCGUUGGUAUAUGCCUAU